AGAAGCACGAAGGAUGACGAGGGUACACGGCCGAGAGACAUUUCGGUAAGAAUAAAAGAGAAAGGAAAUCACUGGAAGGGAUAACAAAAAGUCACGUCGAUGGGAGAAGGAAGGGAAGGACGGGGCAGCGGUAAAAUGCAGCGUAAGUGCUCGCGAAGGACAGAAAUAUGAAAAGCGAAGGAAAGAAGGAUCAAAAUUCUGUCUGUCGACGUCAUCGAGAAAGCUCGAAGAGGAUAUAGAAGAGGAAGAAGAAGAAGAAGAAGAAGAAGAAGACGACGAUAAGAAGAAUAAAUAGAGAAUAAAAAAGAUGAAACGGUUGGUUUAGGAAGAUGGAAAAGUGCGGAUUAAGUGGCAGGAGUAAGGAAGUAAAGGCAAGUGCGACAAGUGUUCGACGCACGCGCGACCUACGAGCGGAGACACGCUGAUCGAUCCCUAAAGAGACCUCGAGUGUGAUGUCAUCGGCAAGCCGGAUCUGUUCCAGGCUUAAGCGAUGUGUCAACUUGCUGAUUGAACGCUAUUUGUCGAUGAAUAAAGCAAAAAAAAAAAAAAACGAAAAAAAGCAAGUGUCUCAAGGACAAUAAGAAUUAACGAUGAAAGACGCGCCGAUCAUCUCUGGAGCUACUGGAAGAAUAAUCGCUGAAAAGAAAGAAACGAAUAUAUGUAUCCGAAACGAGUAAACAUAAUUUGUAAAGUGUUAUAUUAUUAAAGUUUCUAUUUUCUUCGACGUAAAUAAUGAAAUCAAUCAAUAGAAGGAUUUUUGAUUAAUAAACGAUUUGCAGUUACGUUUUCCGCACACUUCUUUCACGCUUACUUCGUCUAACGCUUCGAAAAUAUAGUCACACGUGCGCCAAGUGAAUAAUAAUUGAGUUUGCCGUUGUGUUCUUACGGGUUGCCUAUUCGCAGGAAUCAAAUCGAAGUUUUCCAUUUCUUUCCACGCGUCGCAUAUACGGUUUUCUUUUCGAACUAAUCGUUAUUAGAUUUCUUUACGUGCUUGUCACAUAUCGAAUCGAAAGACGAAUUAAGAUCAUGAAAGAAUAUUCGAUUGUACGAAAGGAGUGGAUCAUGCUGCUUAGGCCAUGUUUAUUGGUGCUGUGUUUUUGUACGAGUACAUCAAGUUUUAUAGUCAUACUCUAUAACGAUGAUUUUCUUUAUAAUUCUUAUUUUUUUUUGUUCUCUACACACUGUAGAUUACACAGAAUAUAUAUCGUUAGACGUACAUACGUGAGCACAAAAUACUUUUCAUACAUAUAAGUAUAGUUCUCCGAAUCGUCCACUCGAUCGAUAUUUGUAAUAUACUUGCCGUCUAAUAGAUACGCGAGUGUUACUUUUGAAAAAUAAGACGAAGAAAAAUGUUUAUAAUAGCGUAACUCGUAUCGAGAAUAUUCGAAGAAAGGUCGAAACCUACUUUACUUCCUCGAUUUUUAUUUAUACAAUAAAAGGUUUCUCUUCUCUUAAAUCACCAAAGUUUCCGUCCGUCGAUCUCUAUUACAAUUUUUUUUUUAGGCACGACCGUAGUUCAUUACGCACAGUGAAAAGUAUAACGGACGAUUAUCCGUGAACUACUCGAGAUAACCAAAAACCUCUUUGAUUCUCUACGUUUUAUAUCAAAACUUUAUUAUAUAUAUAUAUAGAUGUGUGUGCGUGUAUGCGCGUCUGUUUAUCCACUCAAUCAUAAACGGUUGGAUAUAUUGACUUGGAAUUCAAACCAAAAAUAAAAUUACUUACAACGAAGAUUAAUAAGCAAUUUCUCAUCGAUCAGACUUACGGUUUUAAAGUGACAGUAUCUUGAAAAAUUAAAGCAUUCAUAAAAAACGACACGUACGACAAACACGAUUCAAAUUUUGCAGAAAUAUUUAAUACGGUAUCGGGUAUAACCAUAAAUUUUGCUGAAAUUUUGUAGACUUAACGAAAGAUCUUCAUCUAUCUUUUAAUUUUUCAUCAAAGUUUAUAUAUAUUUGUCCGCAUACAUAUGUCAGUUUUAUAUACGUUCUAAAUGUUUGAACAGACUGAUUUGAAAUUUAUACAAAAAAUCCAAUUACGCGCUACGACGUGUAAUAUAUAGGUUCGAUUUAACUUUUAGUUUUAAAACGGUAGUCAUUUUAAAAAUUAAAACGUAUAUAAAAAGUCUCUAAAAAUCGGAAUCGAAUUGAGAUAAAUAAAAAUUUGAUAGAAAUAUUUAAACUGCUACAAGUCAUUAAAGUGAACUACAUCGGUCGUGCCUAUUCUGUGUUCCAUGAUUUUGUCAUGCACACAUCAACACACGCAUACAUAAGCUAAAAAGAUAUUUCGAACGAAACGGAGUGCAAGAUAAAGUCGUACAAGGUGGUCGUGUUCUUUCCAAUAAUUAUAAGUAGGAAAGUUAUCGAUUAUACAAAAAAUUUAUCUUUGGCAAUAGAGGGUAACGUAUGUCAUAUAUAUAUAUCUAUAUAUAUAUGUGUGUGUGUGUGUAUUCCUUAUUUCCUUCGGCGCGAGGUACAAACGAACGAUUUUUUUGUGAAAAGACGAAUAUAAGUUAAUAGGCCAGCAUUAGACGCACACUCUCAAUUCAUUGAGCUCAAAACGAAGCUUUACGAUUCACAGAGGCGGGAUCGCACAGUCUUUUAUUUAUUUUUACGUUAUCCGUUUAUUCGUUUUAUUUAUUUGAUGUCCGUUUUAUGGAAUAUUCGUUUUUUAUUUUUUAGCAGGAAAUAUUUCAAGAAUUGGUGCGAAAAUAUUAUUCACAUUUAUGCACACGCAACGUUAAUUGUAGAUCUAAAAAUUACAAAUAAAUUUGUGUCUUGAAGUCGUCCGACAGAUUUAUACGAUAUAUCUAUACGUUUCGAUGACACAAUAUAACGAAUGCAUUAGAUAGAAUUGAUUAAUGCCGCGAGCUCGUCUUUUAAAGCUUCGUCUUGGUAAAUGCAUUCAAUGUGUACGGCCCUCUCUGGAAUAGGCAGGUACUGUAUUAUGUUUCAUUUGAAUUCAUCGAUCCUCAAUCGAUUCGAUAGGAAUCAGAUAAUCGAACUAUGUGCUUCUCUCGACGAUCCUCUUUCUUCGCGACUACAGUUCGCUAAUUACAUCGUAUCGUUAGUUAAAUUCUUUUCACCUUAGAAGAGCUAAAGUAAACGUUUCAUGUUUUUUUUGUAUUAAACGUUACGAUCUUACGACAUAUCUAGCUAAAGGCGGAUUGAAUUUCUCGUAGCAAAGACCACGAACGAUCAGAUUCAAUGACGAGUUCAAAAUUGGCAAUUGAAAUGUACAUGACAUAACAAAUAAUAAAAUGUAUGCAUAACCGGGCGAAAGAAAUAUAUUUUUUUCAAAAACUUCAUCCAAGAAACUUCAACACGAACGAAAACGAAUGCUGGAAGUUUAAAUGCGAUCGUCCUCGAUCAAAUUCUUCGUGCGCACACUUUAAUUUAAGAACGUGUUCGUCACGACCGAACGUAGCUCAUGUAACGAAUCGCGAAACAUGCAUCCCACCGAACAGAUGCUCGAUGAUCCAGAUCUUUCAUUACUAUAUUACUAAAUUACUUUCAUGUGUUUCGAGUCGCGAUGUUCCAUCGGAUGUUACGCUGUCGGAAAUCGCUGGAUUUCUUUUUUUUUGUUUUUAUUUUCUAAUCGGUAAAUAUCUCUAUCUACUUUUUUGUAUUUUUUUCUCUUGCUGUUCUAAUAUCCCACAGAAAACUAGAGCGUCCGUUCAUGAAUCUUAACUUUAGUGAAAAAAGAUAUACUUCUAUGUCGUCGAAAGAACGUAGGCCCGUUUAUUUAUGGAUUCUCGUAAAACUGUUUUGUCGUAUCGAGUACUAUAAAAAACCAGUCGGUGUGAUUAAUAUCUCAAAGAAAAAGGAAUUGGUAGACUUGAUGUAGGUUGCACGAAGUCCUUAAGAGGGACACAAGCUCACAAUCAAAAUGGAAAUUCACGAACGAAUGAAUUCUACGUAACCCGUGAUUAGAUUUUAUUAAAAUUAACUCGGGUUAUUGGAUCUUAGUUACGUUCUCAUGAAAUAUACAAAUUGCACGUUGCCGCGUUCUUCGUGUUUAUCCUUGAGGAUAAUCUAUGAAUCAGACCACGAGCAAAAAAUUGACAAGUGUUAUUCUUCGUCUACGGAUCAUCAACUCGCAUAAAAGUUGUCGGUGAAAAAUCGCGGAUGUACAUAAGUACAUACGUAAUUGUUAUCAUGGGGAAUCUUUUUUCUUGAUCGAGAAGGAAGAUAGAUAGAUAGACAGAUAAAGAGAAAGAAAGAGGGAGAAAGAGAGAGAGAGAGAGAGAUAGAGAUAACUAGAGAGAGAAAGAGAGGAAGAAAUCGAAAA